rnacentral:rRNA from 1 species
AGCAGUAGCCACGGGAAUACAGAGGGUGCGAGCGUUAAUCGGAUUUACUGGGCGUAAAGCGUGCGUAGGCGGCUUUUUAAGUCGGAUGUGAAAUCCCUGAGCUUAACUUAGGAAUUGCAUUCGAUACUGGGAAGCUAGAGUAUGGGAGAGGAUGGUAGAAUUCCAGGUGUAGCGGUGAAAUGCGUAGAGAUCUGGAGGAAUACCGAUGGCGAAGGCAGCCAUCUGGCCUAAUACUGACGCUGAGGUACGAAAGCAUGGGGAGCAAACAGGAUUAGAUACCCCCGUAGUCCCUGUCUCUUAUAA